UACAGAGGUCUCAAGCGUUGUUCGGAUUCAUUGGGCGUAAAGGGUGCGUAGGUGGCGAGGUUAGUCAGGUGUGAAAUCUCGGGGCUCAACCCCGAAACUGCACUUGAUACUGCCUUGCUAGAGUACUGGAGAGGAGAUUGGAAUUUACGGUGUAGCAGUGAAAUGCGUAGAUAUCGUAAGGAAGACCAGUGGCGAAGGCGGGUCUCUGGACAGUUCCUGGACGCUGAGGCAACGGAAGGUCAGGGGAGCAAACGGG
rnacentral:rRNA from 1 species